rnacentral:rRNA from 1 species
GAUUAACGCUGGCGGCGUGCAUAACACAUGCAAGUCGAACGAUGAAACUUUAAUGAACCCUUCGGGGAGAAUUAAAGCGGCUUAGUGGCGAACGGGUGAGUAACGCGUGAGUAACCUGCCUUACACAAGGGGAUAGCCUUUGGAAACGAAGAAUAAUACCCUAUAAAACCAUACAAGCACAUGCAAUUAUGGUCAAAGUGAUAGCGGUGUAAGAUGGACUUGCGUCUGAUUAGCUAGUUGGUGAGAUAAAAGCCCACCAAGGCAACGAUCAGUAGCCGGCUUGAGAGAGUGUACGGCCACAUUGGGACUGAGACACGGCCCAGACUCCUACGGGAGGCAGCAGUGGGGAAUUUUGCACAAUGGGGGAAACCCUGAUGCAGCGACGCCGCGUGAUUUAGAAGGCCUUCGGGUUGUAAAAAUCUUUUGUAUAGGAAGAAAAUGACAGUACUAUACGAAUAAGGUCCGGCUAAUUACGUG